CUUUCCAGACCUCAAGAGACAAGUUCAAGAGAAAGAACGAGAGAAUACUAAACUAAAAGCUGCAAAUGAAGCUUUGGAGAAUGGAUUCCCUGAACAGAAAAGAACAAGAGAACCAGAAGCUUAAGGACAAAGUUGCAGAAUUGGACAGCAAGAGUAAAGAAGAUCAGGAAAAUGAAAUAAAAGUUGGUGAGUAAUUACUGCAAGUGAAUUCUACCAUCUUUGUGUAUUAAACUGAGUGCUUGAGGCUGAUUGGUCAGAUGAGGGAUUUAGCUGCUGAACUGUAAAUCAGACCACAGCCAACUGUAAUUGGCUAGCUAGGCAUGUUGCACUGCAGUGGGGGCUAGCAGCUAAUGUUACACCAAUAAUGUGAUCCUUUUAAAAGAAUAAUCUGUUAGAUCAGUGGUUCACAAACUUUUUACAGUCCCGUACCCCUUCAGACAUUUAAUCUCCAGCUACGUACCCCCUCCCCCGUUUUUUUUCCAUGUUUCAUUCUAUACGACCUUAUUAUUGAUGGAGAUAAUUUCCAAACACUGUUAAUGACUUAAUAUAAUAAUCAAGUGACUUGUAUUAAUAAUUACCUUAUAUGAAUCAUGUACUUAUGUAAGCAGGAACAUGGCUUUUCUGUGU